GCCACGCCUAGCUAUCGGCUGAUCCCCGAUGGUGAAAACCGGGACACCCUGACCUGGCGGCGCUGGCUUUCUUAUCAGAG
rnacentral:sRNA from 1 species